rnacentral:rRNA from 1 species
GGAGGGUGCAAGCGUUAUCCGGAUUCACUGGGUUUAAAGGGUGCGUAGGCGGGCAGGUAAGUCAGUGGUGAAAUCCCCGAGCUUAACUCGGGAACUGCCAUUGAUACUAUCUGUCUUGAAUAUUGUGGAGGUAAGCGGAAUAUGUCAUGUAGCGGUGAAAUGCUUAGAUAUGACAUAGAACACCUAUUGCGAAGGCAGCUUACUACGCAUAUAUUGACGCUGAGGCACGAAAGCGUGGGGAUCAAACAGGAUUAGAUACCCUGGUAGUCCACGCCCUAAACGAUGAUUACUCGACAUUUGCGAUACACAGUAAGUGUCUGAGCGAAAGCAUUAAGUAAUCCACCUGGGAAGUACGACCGCAAGGUUGAA